UCCAUAGUGAAGUUUCUUUCCGUCAACCCUUUGACGAUGACAAAUCCCUUUCCAUCAACCCUUUGAUGAUGCCACUCCAUAGUGAAGCCUUUUUCAUCAACCCUUUGACGCCUACAAUCUUUUUCCAUAAACCCUUUGAUGAUGAUAUAAUAUAAUAAUUUCUUUUCCAUCAAUCCUUUGAUGAUGUCACUCCAUAGUGAAGUUUCUUUUUUUCAAUCCUUUAACG
rnacentral:lncRNA from 1 species